ACGGUCGAAUCACGUUGAAACAUCGGUUCUCGUACGAUCACCGAAAUUAAGCAACGUCGAGCCUGGUCAGUACCUAAAUGGGUGACCGCUUGAAUGUGCAGGUGGUGCAG